GCCCGCUUAGCUCAGUGGUAGAGCGCGCCACUCGUAAGAUUUCGCUGAAAUGGUGAGGUCGGUUGUUCAAACCAGCCAGCGGGCA